UACGUAGGGUGCAAGCGUUUAAUCGGAAUUACUGGGCGUAAAGCGUGCGCAGGCGGUUGUGCAAGACCGAUGUGAAAUCCCCGGGCUUAACCUGGGAAUGGCAUUGGUGACUGCACGGCUAGAGUGUGUCAGAGGGGGGUAGAAUUCCACGUGUAGCAGUGAAAUGCGUAGAGAUGUGGAGGAAUACCGAUGGCGAAGGCAGCCCCCUGGGAUAACACUGACGCCUCAUGCACGAAAGCGUGGGGAGCAAACAGG
rnacentral:rRNA from 1 species